rnacentral:tRNA from 1 species
GGUCUUUUAGUAUAAUGGUUAGUACAUUAUCCCUUCACGAUAAUAGUACCAGUUCGAAUCUGGUAAAGACUA